GGGAUCUAAUCUCGCAAAAGCGCAUGGUGCAAUGUGGUAAUUUCUCUUUCAAAGAACAUAGCCUAGUUGAAGGUUGUCGAAGAAGAUUAAUUGGUGAGCACACUGUUUCGUGUCAGCAAAGACUUAAACAAUGCGUUACGUGGCCGCCUACCUAUUAGCAGUGCUUGGAGGUAACUCCAGCCCAUCAACCAAUGACAUCAAACAUAUUCUUGGGGAAGUAGGUGUUAGUUUUGAUGAUGAGCAAGCAAAAAAUGUUUGCAGUAAACUUGCAGGAAAGGACAUCAAUGA